GAUGAACGCUGGCGGCGUGCCUAAUACAUGCAAGUCGAGCGAACGGACGAGAAGCUUGCUUCUCUGAUGUUAGCGGCGGACGGGUGAGUAACACGUGGAUAACCUACCUAUAAGACUGGGAUAACUUCGGGAAACCGUAGCUAAUACCGGAUAAUAUUUUGAACCGCAUGGUUCAAAAGUGAAAGACGGUCUUGCUGUCACCUAUAGAUGGAUCCGCGCUGCAUUAGCUAGUUGGUAAGGUAACGGCUUACCAAGGCAACGAUGCAUAGCCGACCUGAGAGGGUGAUCGGCCACACUGGAACUGAGACACGGUCCAGACUCCUACGGGAGGCAGCAGUAGGGAAUCUUCCGCAAUGGGCGAAAGCCUGACGGAGCAACGCUGCGUGAGUGAUGAAGGUCUUCGGAUCGUAAAACUCUGUUAUUAGGGAAGAACAUAUGUGUAAGUAACUGUGCACAUCUUGACGGUACCUAAUCAGAAAGCCACGGCUAACUACGUG
rnacentral:rRNA from 1 species